AGCGACAGGCUUAACACAUGCAAGUCGAGGGGCAGCGGGGUAGUGCUUGCACUACUGCCGGCGACCGGCGCACGGGUGAGUAACACGUAUGGAACCUGCCCGCAGCAGGGGGAUAAGCGGAAGAAAUUCCGUCUAAUACCGCGUAAGAACGUUGGGAGGCAUCUCCCGAUGUUUAAAGAUUUAUCGGCUGCGGAUGGCCAUGCGGCGCAUUAGCUAGUCGGCGGGGUAACGGCCCACCGAGGCGACGAUGCGUAGGGGUUCUGAGAGGAAGGUCCCCCACACUGGUACUGAGACACGGACCAGACUCCUACGGGAGGCAGCAGUGAGGAAUAUUGGUCAAUGGCCGAGAGGCUGAACCAGCCAAGUCGCGUGAGGGAAGACGGCCCUACGGGUUGUAAACCUCUUUUGUCGGGGAGCAAAGCGAACCACGUGUGGUUCAUUGAGAGUACCCGAAGAAAAAGCAUCGGCUAACUCCGUGCCAGCAGCCGCGGUAAUACGGAGGAUGCGAGCGUUAUCCGGAUUUAUUGGGUUUAAAGGGUGCGCAGGCGGAGGUGCAAGUCAGCGGUCAAAUUGCGGGGCUCAACCCCGUACUGCCGUUGAAACUGCAUCCCUUGAGUGCGCGAGAAGUAUACGGAAUGCGUGGUGUAGCGGUGAAAUGCAUAGAUAUCACGCAGAACUCCGAUUGCGAAGGCAGCAUACCGGCGCGCAACUGACGCUCAUGCACGAAAGCGUGGGUAUCGAACAGGAUUAGAUACCCUGGUAGUCCACGCAGUAAACGAUGAAUACUAAUUGUCCGGUCAGAAUGAUGGCUGAGUGGUACAGCGAAAGCGUUAAGUGUUCCACCUGGGGAGUACGCCGGCAACGGUGAAACUCAAAGGAAUUGACGGGGGCCCGCACAAGCGGAGGAACAUGUGGUUUAAUUCGAUGAUACGCGAGGAACCUUACCCGGGCUCAAACGACACAGGAAUACUUUUGAAAGGAGGUAGCCCUAUGGGGUCUGUGUCGAGGUGCUGCAUGGUUGUCGUCAGCUCGUGCCGUGAGGUGUCGGCUUAAGUGCCAUAACGAGCGCAACCCCUAUCGCCAGUUACCAUCAAGUAAAGUUGGGGACUCUGGCGAGACUGCCGGCGCAAGCUGAGAGGAAGGCGGGGAUGACGUCAAAUCAGCACGGCCCUUACGUCCGGGGCGACACACGUGUUACAAUGGCAGGUACAGAGAGAAGCCAGGUGGUGACACCGAGCGGAACUCGAAAGCCUGUCUCAGUUCGGAUCGGAGUCUGCAACCCGACUCCGUGAAGCUGGAUUCGCUAGUAAUCGCGCAUCAGCCAUGGCGCGGUGAAUACGUUCCCGGGC
rnacentral:rRNA from 1 species